UGACAAUGCACUUUUGAACUUCUUUCCAACAAUAAACCCAGGGAUGAAACGCAAGUGUUGCAGUCUUGUCCCAAAGAUCUCUUUUACAAGCACAAAAUCACCAACCUUCAGGAAAUUAUAGAAAAUAUCUGUCUACAGAACACGGCAAAAUUCAGAGUAUGCUCUUUGUGGCCCUUGUGAAGUUUCAAAGAGACUGGUAGAGGUUGGCCUGGCUACCCUGACUUGCGAGCAUAAUAGGGUGGUAUCAACCCACCAUUCAGCAUUUCUGGAAUUCACUGUA